GAAUGGAAAGUGAAAAAUUCACACUCAGUUUCGACCUGAAAUUUGGCAUCGUGUGCCUCCAUUCA
rnacentral:tRNA from 1 species